UAUGUGGUUCGGUUGUGAUGUACGUACACAAAAAAAAACCGUAGGCUGGGAAGGGGAAGAAAAACAUAUCUUUAAAAACAUAAAUAUAAUAAACUGAAUAAAAGCAUUCCUUAUAUGAAUACAUAUCGCAUAUUGUUGUGUGGACGGUUUAUACCGAAUCCUCUAUGUUAUACACAGGCAAAUGAGCGUGCUUACGAUUUAUUUAUUGUGCUCAAGCCAACCUUUCAGCCAGUGUCUCGCGGUGUUCGGUUCAGUUACUGUUUAUGUGUUCGCGUGAGAAGAUUUAAAACGUUCAACCGUAAAAACAGAAAUUGAUCGCGAAAAGAUAUUGCUCACUCGCAUUGGCGAACAUCGAAAGACAUUUUUCUUGAAUAAAAUUUAAACGAAAAUUCCCAACAAUAAAAUGAGUGUAAAAACGGAAAAUAAAAUAACGUUACGUAUCGAGGCGUUGUCGAACAAAAAGGAGAUUAUCAUCGGAAAUCCUCGUAAGUAGAAAAA